rnacentral:rRNA from 1 species
GAUGAACGCUGGCGGCGUGCCUAAUACAUGCAAGUCGAACGCACUUCGGUUUUUGAUUGACGGUGCUUGCACCAGAUUGACGAGACAUUGAAGUGAGUGGCGAACGGGUGAGUAACACGUGGGUAACCUGCCCUAAAGUGGGGGAUAACAUUUGGAAACAGAUGCUAAUACCGCAUAACAACGAAAACCACAUGGUUUUCGCUUGAAAGAUGGUUUCGGCUAUCACUUUAGGAUGGACCCGCGGUGCAUUAGCUAGUUGGUAAGGUAACGGCUUACCAAGGCAAUGAUGCAUAGCCGAGCUGGGAGGCUGAUCGGCCACAUUGGGACUGAGACACGGCCCAGACUCCUACGGGAGGCAGCAGUAGGGAAUCUUCCACAAUGGGCGCAAGCCUGAUGGAGCAACGCCGCGUGAGUGAAGAAGGGUUUCGGCUCGUAAAACUCUGUUGUUAAAGAAGAACGUAUCUGAGAGUAACUGUUCAGAUAGUGACGGUAUUUAACCAGAAAGCCACGGCUAACUACGUGCCAGCCGCCGCAGUAAGAC